rnacentral:miRNA from 1 species
GCCCUCGUUCGUGACAAGCUGU